rnacentral:rRNA from 1 species
AGUAAUGCUUGGGAAUCUGGCUUAUGGAGGGGGAUAACUACGGGAAACUGUAGCUAAUACCGCGUAGUGUCGAGAGACGAAAGUGCGGGACCGCAAGGCCGCAUGCCAUGAGAUGAGCCCAAGUGGGAUUAGGUAGUUGGUGGGGUAAAGGCCUACCAAGCCUGCGAUCUCUAGCUGGUCUGAGAGGAUGGCCAGCCACACUGGAACUGAGACACGGUCCAG